rnacentral:rRNA from 1 species
GAGCGGCGAACGGGUGAGUAACACGUGAGUAACCUGCCCCUGACUCUGGGAUAAGCCCGGGAAACUGGGUCUAAUACCGGAUAUGACACCUCCUGGCAUCGGGUGGGUGUGGAAAGUUUUUUCGGUUGGGGAUGGACUCGCGGCCUAUCAGCUUGUUGGUGGGGUAAUGGCCUACCAAGGCGACGACGGGUAGCCGGCCUGAGAGGGCGACCGGCCACACUGGGACUGAGACACGGCCCAGACUCCUACGGGAGGCAGCAGUGGGGAAUAUUGCGCAAUGGGCGAAAGCCUGACGCAGCGACGCCGCGUGGGGGAUGACGGCCUUCGGGUUGUAAACCUCUUUCAGCAGGGACGAAGUUGACGUGUACCUGCAGAAGAAGCGCCGGCUAACUACGUGCCAGCAGCCGCGGUAAUACGUAGGGCGNAAGCGUUGUCCGGAAUUAUUGGGCGUAAAGAGCUCGUAGGUGGCUUGUCACGUCGGGUGUGAAAGCUUGGGGCUUAACUCCAGGUCUGCAUUCGAUACGGGCUGGCUAGAGGUAGGUAGGGGAAGAACGGNAAUUCCU